rfam:Camponotus floridanus CamFlo_1.0_2.contig6078, whole genome shotgun sequence.
GGCUGAAUAGCUCAGUGGUAAGAGCAGUCGCCCGGCAAGCGAAAAACUCAGUUUCGAUCUCCGAUUCAGCGA